GGGAUUACGGGAGUGAGCCACCACACCAGAACUGAUCUUUCUAACACAGGGAAAUUGUAUUCUUUAGAAGUGGAGGAAUAUUUCCUAGUAAUUUGAUCAAGUAAAAAUAAUUAUAAUAAAGAAGGUAAAAUCAAGCCCUAAUUCCCCAUGUAGGGGAAUAAUAUCAUUUUGGUAAGAUUCUUCCAGACAGUAUGAUUAGGAUGUUACAUAAAUCAAACUGUGCUAUAUACAGUAUGCAGAGAAGGAAAUUCCUUAGCUUGUCUAAAGUCUGAUAGUGUGAAGAAUUUGCUGACCUGCUCUCCAUGCCUGUCUGAGCACGAGUGAAGUGAAUCAGAGAGAGAUUGCAAGAUGGAGAAAGGAGGUACAGUUGGAGAGAGUGGAGGGGGCAGGAAAGACCAGACAGAGCUGCAUCUCCCAUGAAAACAACUGUGUACAUAAGAUAGAGUGAGUACAUAGAGUACAUAGAAGAGUGAGCUCUGAAAGAACUCUCACAUGGACCCCAGAAAGAGGAGUACUCAACGCCUGCUGCACAGAAGGCAUCAGCAGUUAAGUACUGGCUAGAAAAGCGGAGUCCAUCAAAGGAGAGGACCACAGUGGUAGCUGCCUGGAGAGCUGUCCCUGCAAGCUGAACUAACAGAAGAUGAAGAAUGAGGUCUCCCUGAAAUGCCCACCAUAAGACUGCCAGAUAUGGGACUGCUGGAUGACACUCUGGCUACCCCACUGAGUUUUAUGAAAACAUAACAGAAUAAAGACACUUACUUGUCAACUCAGUUACAAGCUAUUGAGGCACUCCAGAGUGACGGCAUGUGAUCCCCCUGACACAAGAAACAGGCCCAGAUAACACACCGUUCAGACCGACAGCAGUUCUGGUU
rnacentral:lncRNA from 10 species